UACAGGGGGUGCAAACGUUGCUCGGAAUUAUUGGGCGUAAAGCGCGCGUAGGCGGCUACCUAAGUCGGAUGUGAAAGCCCCUGGCUUAACUGGGGAAGUGCACCCGAAACUGGGUAGCUAGAGUGCAAAAGAAGGUCGCGGAAUUCCCGGUGUAGAGGUGAAAUUCGUAGAUAUCGGGAGGAACACCGGUGGCGAAGGCGGCGACCUGGGUUGACACUGACGCUGAGGCGCGAAAGCGUGGGGAGCAAACAGG
rnacentral:rRNA from 1 species